GAUGGAUUCCGUUCAGCAGUCAAAGUACAGAGUACAGCAGAACUGUUGCGCAGUGCACUGGGGACACUGGGACUGUCAAAAAUAGUCAAUCAAGCAUGGAAGCUGUACAACAGGCAUCUGAAGGCUUUUUGGACUUGGACUAGAUCAGCAGAGAUUUAGGCUACACUUCUGUCAUGUCUAUCUGGCAAGGAAAUGGGCGUUGGGCAGCAGGACACUGGCUUUACUGAUAGUGAGUGCUGAUUGGUUGGUGAGCGGAGAAGCUCAAUGGCUGUUGGCGCUCACUGAUGUUAUGAAUGUACAUGAUGCAACGUAUUAAACUCCUAUGUUCAAAAGUG